rnacentral:rRNA from 1 species
UACAGAGGGUGCAAGCGUUAAUCGGAAUUACUGGGCGUAAAGCGAGCGUAGUCGGUUAUUUAAGUCGGAUGUGAAAUCCCCGGGCUCAACCUGGGAAUUGCAUUCGAUACUGGAUAGCUAGAGUUCGGCAGAGGGAAGCGGAAUUUCUGGUGUAGCGGUGAAAUGCGUAGAUAUCAGAAGGAACAUCAGUGGCGAAAGCGGCUUCCUGGACCAGAACUGACGAUCAGGCUCGAAAAGCGUGGGGGAGCAAAACAGGG